UUGUCACAUGAUGAGCUAAAGUUUACCGCCCCAGUCUGAAGUUUAAUGACUGAUUGGUUUAUAGCUGAUGACAG
rnacentral:snoRNA from 1 species